CCAGACUCCUACGGGAGGCAGCAGUGAGGAAUAUUGGUCAAUGGGCUUACGCCUGAACCAGCCAAGUCGCGUGAGGGAAUAAGGCCCUAUGGGUCGUAAACCUCUUUUGUCAGGGAGCAAAGGCGUCCACGUGUGGACGAGAGGAGAGUACCUGAAGAAAAAGCAUCGGCUAACUCCGUGCCAGCAGCCGCGGUAAUACGGAGGAUGCGAGCGUUAUCCGGAUUUAUUGGGUUUAAAGGGUGCGUAGGCGGAGUGUCAAGUCAGCGGUAAAAUUUCGGGGCUCAACCCCGUCGUGCCGUUGAAACUGACGCCCUUGGGUGAGUGAGAAGUAAGCGGAAUGCGUGGUGUAGCGGUGAAAUGCAUAGAUAUCACGCAGAACCCCGAUUGCGAAGGCAGCGUACCGGCGCCCAACUGACGCUGAAGCACGAAAGCGUGGGUAUCGAACAGGAUUAGAUACCCCGGUAAU
rnacentral:rRNA from 1 species